AAGAAGUUAAUUUAAAAAAAAAAAUAAUUAUUUGUCAAGUAAAAUUUACAAUUCUAUAAUAUUGUACUUCUUG
rnacentral:tRNA from 1 species